AGGUAAUAGAUACCCCGGUAGUCCACGCCGUAAACGAUGGAUGCUAGCUGUUUGAGGUAUCGACCCCUCAUGUAGCGAAAGCUAACGCGUUAAGCAUCCCGCCUGUGGAGUACGGUCGCAAGACUAAACAUAAAGGAAUUGACGGGGACCCGCACAAACGGUGGAGCGUGUUGUUUAAAUUCGAUGGUAAGCGAAGAACCUUACCCAGGCUUGACUUCUACGGAAUUUUGGUCGAAAGCCGAGAGUGCCUUCGGGAACCGUAUGACAGGUGUUGCAUGGCCGUCGUCAGCUCGUGUCGUGAGAUGUUUGGUUAAGUCCAUCAACGAGCGCAACCC
rnacentral:rRNA from 1 species